GUAACACCCUCCCUCUCCCAUUAUGAGAGUGAGAAGGGGAGCGGACUUUUCAGGCGAGUCGAAGUACUCCCAAAAGUGCUAUUACGCCAUAAAAUAUAGUUCCUCUUUUAAAUCCGCUUAGAAAAGCGCUACGUUUUAUUUUGUACCACCAAACUUGCUCGUAUAACUACUCGUCUUAAAUAGGAAAAACGUUGAUGUGUUUGGUUCUAACUUUAUCUCUAAAUAGCAGCAUUGAAUGAAUGGGGCUAAGCUAAAUGCUAUCGUACACUCUAAAAACCGUUGGGUUAUUUGUUUUACCCAAUAGGUGGGUUAAACGUAUUGGGUUGUUCUGUUGGGUUAUUCCUAGCUUGUAUUGGGUUAUUUCCAUAACAACCCAGAGAGUUGGGUUAAAAUCGGGCUCACGUCACGCAUUUUGAAUUUCAACGGUUGACCGGUGCCACUGCUGAGUGCGGACAGACACGAGAGACAUUCUUGGAGAUGUUGCAUUAAAAACCUUACAAAAUGGCCAGCAAGAUGGUUCAGCCUUCCUACAGUACCAAGAGGCAAAGCAAACAUUUAUUAAUUUGCAACCUGUCAGAAAACAAACAUAAUUCAGUAUUUGGAGGAGGAGGUAUGACGAAGACCCCAUGUCCUCCUAUGGGAUGAAUUCGACUAAUCACAAGCCUUUGUUAUCGUGGGGAGGCAUGCAUGGCCCUGGAGCAAGACCAGCAGUUGACAUGUGCUUUAAUAUUUUUUUUACAUUUUAUACAGAGUAUCCCAAGCCUUUCACUACUGUUAAGUAGUUUCUGUAACACACAAUACAUUUUGUACCAUGUGAUGUUUCCUGAACACACUGUCACCUGCUUAAAGGGACAGUUCCCCCAAAAAUGAAAAUUGUCAUAAUUUUCUUCCUCUCCUGUCGUUACAAACCUGUACACAUUUUUUUGUUCUGAUGACCACAAAGGAAGAUAUUUUGAGUAAUGUUUGAAACCAAACAGAUCAUGAGCCCCUUUGACUGUCAUAGUAGGAAAAAAGAAUACUAUGAAAAUGAAUGGGGCUCAUGAUCGGUUUUAUUUUUUAAACAUUCUUUGAAAUAUACCUUUGUGGUUAUCAAAGUAAAGACUUAUAUACAGGUUUAUAACAACAUGAGAGGGAGAAAAUGAUGACAAAAUGUGUGAACUAUGCUUUUAAGCAGUUUUUAGUUGGAUAAGAUUGAGUAAAUUUGUUUUGUUCUUAUGUUUUUGUUUAUUUAUGUAUUUAUAUAUGUAUGUAUGUGUGUAUGUAUUUAUGCUUCUAUACAUGUAUGUAUUUAUACAUUUAAAUGCAGGUGCAAAUGACUAAAUGAAAUUAAAGCAUUAUAAAUGUAUUUGUAAGUUUUGAAUUAUUUAUUUAUAAAGCAAAUAAUAGUAAUAAAUAAUAAUAAUAAUAAUAAUAAUGGGGUUAAAACAGCAUUGCAAAAAUAACCCAACAAAUUGGUUAUUUCAUAACCCAACUAAUUGGGUAAAACUUUCUACCCAAUGCAUUGGGUUAAAAUAACCCAACAAUGGGUCGGUGCUAUAGUAACCCACCAUUGGGUUAUUUAUUGGGUUAUUUUUAACCCAACUG